CCUACGGGUGGCAGCAGUGGGGAAUAUUGGGCAAUGGGCGCAAGCCUGACCCAGCAACGCCGCGUGAAGGAAGAAGGCUCUCGGGUUUUAAACUUCUUUUAUCAGGGACGAAGCAAGUGACGGUACCUGCUGAAUAAGCCACGGCUAACUACGUGCCAGCAGCAGCGGUAAUACGGAGGUGGUAAGCAUUAUCCGGAUUUACGGGGUGUAAAGGGCGUGUAGGCGGGAACGCAAGUCAGAUGUGAAAACCAUGGGCUCAACCUGUGGCCUGCAUUUGAAACUGUUUUUCUUGAGUACUGGAGAGGCAGACGGAAUUCCUAGUGUAGCGGUGAAAUGCGUAGAUAUCAGGAGGAACACCAGUGGCGAAGGCGGUCUGCUGGACAGCAACUGACGCUGAGGCGCGAAAGCGUGGGGAGCAAACAGGAUUAGAUACCCGAGUAGUC
rnacentral:rRNA from 1 species